rnacentral:tRNA from 1 species
UCCUAGUGGCUCAGAUGGUAAAGAAUCUGCCUGAAAUGCAGGAGACCCAGGUUUAAUCCCUGGAUCGGGAA